GACGAACGCUGGCGGCGUGCCUAAUACAUGCAAGUUGAGCGCUGAAGGUUGGUACUUGUACCAACUGGAUGAGCAGCGAACGGGUGAGUAACGCGUGGGGAAUCUGCCUUUGAGCGGGGGACAACAUUUGGAAACGAAUGCUAAUACCGCAUAAAAACUUUAAACACAAGUUUUAAGUUUGAAAGAUGCAAUUGCAUCACUCAAAGAUGAUCCCGCGUUGUAUUAGCUAGUUGGUGAGGUAAAGGCUCACCAAGGCGAUGAUACAUAGCCGACCUGAGAGGGUGAUCGGCCACAUUGGGACUGGGACACGGCCCAAACUCCUACGGGAGGCAGCAGUAGGGAAACUUCGGCAAUGGACGAAAGGCUGACCGAGCAACGCCGCGGGAGUGAAGAAGGGUGUCGGAUCGUAAAACUCUGUUGGUAGAGAAGAAAGUUGGUGAGAGUGGAAAGCUCAUCAAGUGACGGUAACUACCCAGAAAGGGACGGCUAACUACGUG
rnacentral:rRNA from 1 species